rnacentral:rRNA from 1 species
UACAGAGGGGGGCAAGCGUUGUUCGGAAUUACUGGGCGUAAAGGGCGCGUAGGCGGCCUUCUAAGUCGAACGUGAAAUCCCUGGGCUCAACCCAGGAACUGCGUCCGAUACUGGAAGGCUUGAAUCCGGGAGAGGGAUGCGGAAUUCCAGGUGUAGCGGUGAAAUGCGUAGAUAUCUGGAGGAACACCGGUGGCGAAGGCGGCAUCCUGGACCGACACUGACACUGAGGAGCGAAAGCCAGGGGAGCAAACGGG